rnacentral:sRNA from 1 species
AAAACUUUUCAUCUACCGGUAUAAAGGAAACCUUAUAAAGAGAAAUCGUUUUUUUACAGCUCAUAUCGCUCUGUGUAAGCUUUGGAGGGGAUGCAUGGAAAUCCAGUUUUACUGCCUAACUUAGCCAACUUGUACAUGAAAACCUCAACGAUGUAUGAAAAUUCUCCCACUUUAGAGGAUUUCAAUGGGGAGAAACUGCAUACUAAACUUCAUCUUUACAAGUCAGGUUUGGUCAGCAGGCAGAAUUAUUCACUGCAGUGGAUAUAAUCCUUGUAGCUCUUCAUUCAUGGAUCAAUAAAACAUAUCUGCCUGGAAAAAAUAUGAUUACUUGAAAGAAUGUUUUUGGAGUGUGUAAAGAUCGACACAUUAGGACUUUAUAGGCUCUCAGUGAUAUGGGACAAGCACCUGUACUGAAGUCUCAUAAAUCACAGCUUUGUUUUACAAAUAAAUUCAUAUUGACAUUU